rnacentral:rRNA from 1 species
GACGUAGGGCGCAAGCGUUGUCCGGAUUUAUUGGGCGUAAAGAGCUCGUAGGCGGCUUGUUGCGUCGACCGUGAAAACCCGUGGCUCAACUGCGGGCUUGCGGUCGAUACGGGCGGGCUAGAGUUCGGUAGGGGAGACUGGAAUUCCUGGUGUAGCGGUGAAAUGCGUAGAGAUCGGGAGGAACAUCAGUGGCGAAGGCGACUUUCUGGCCUAUAACUGACGCUGAGGCGCGAAAGCGUGGGGAGCAAACAGG